UGGGAAGGGGAAAAAAGAGAGAGGAAGAGGUUAGCUCAGGGCGAAUCUUUCCCAGCCAAAAAAAAAAGGAAACAGCAUAAUUAACAAGUUUGAUGUAAUGGACAUAUGUAGAGUGUUGCAACAGUUCUCUGACUACAACACAAUAAUUUAAAAAUCAACAACAAAAUGAUAACUAGGAAAACCUCACACAUUUGGAAAUUUUAAAACGAAAGUGUUAAACAACUCAUGGGCCAAAAAUGAAUAAUGGAAAUUAAAACAUAUUUAUACCUGAAUGAACCACAUAUCAAAACUUGUGCAACUCCGUGGGCGUCCCCUCGGGAUUUCCCGGAUGGAUGAACGGUGAAUUAGCCACUCGGGACUGAGAAGAUGCACACACACGGCUGGUGUCUCCUCGGAAACACCCAGAACACCUCUCAUCUCUGCCCUCUCUCCAUCACCAGGUGUCAACAUUUAACUACAGGGAUCUUGAGUAAAGGAAUGGGUACUGCUUCCCCCUGGACGGAGGAGCAGGUGUGGGGCUCCGGAGCCUUCCGUGCUGCAGCCCGGGCCCUCUCUCCUGCCCGAGCUGCAUUUGUCUCUAGGUGGCUGCUCUCCUCCGCGCGCCCGGAGACUACGGAGCAGGAGGGUGUCUCCCUUUGAUCACUGAGACUAUAAAGGCUUCCAGAACGUUGUCCUUAACUCGAAUUCCUCUGACCUUGGCACAACAGUCGUUUCCUUCCUUAAACACUGGGGAGGGAGUGGUGGCAGACGGUGACUUUGAACACAUCUCUGUCUGAGUUCCAGCACCUUCCGCAGGGCUGCAAGCUCCAUGAUCCUCAUAGGCCGAGAAUCAUGGGUCUCAUGUGCCACAGCUUCCCGGCACCUGGCGCCGCCACAGCGGUCCUUGUCCUGACCCCUUCUGGGUGGUCUCUGGAGAAGCCUCCUUCCUAAGAGGGGCUCAGGCAAACCCACCGGCACUCGAGGGCGGUCUAAGAUCAACACAGUACUGUCAGCCUGAGAUGCUUUUAAGAAAUGCUCUGUGUUUAAUUAAACCAAAUCCAUUUACAGCCAAAAUCAGGAGUGGGAUCUGGAGCAGGCUUCGUGAAAUUUCAUGCUCUUCAGAGAGUAAUCUCUAAUAUGCAUAUUUUUGCAUUACUGAUGCCUCUCCCCAGCCUGCUGGUGACGUCUGUUUCCUGUUCAUUUUGUCUUUGGGAAGUUAAACCCCAAGGUCACCAGCGAGGUGAUGGCAGAGUUCUGUCCCCAGAGCAGCCUGCUUCUCGGGCCAGAUCGCACCCACAGCACAGACGUCGGUGCCCGAGCAAGAGAGGGGCUGCUGGCCCAUCUUCCCUCCAUUCGCUGUUCCCUCGCGCAUCGCAGGCUGCCACGAUUGCUCCGUGGGGUAGAUUUCUCGGUCACUGAAGGAGAGGGAACGGGUGUGGGUGCCCACGUGGCGCGCGUUGGCCCACGUGAGCAGGAGCAGAGGUGAAGCUUGCUGAGGUUGGGAAGCCGCCUCUGUCCGCCGCCUGGCCGCCUGGUCCAGCAGGAGGAGGCUCAGUUCGCAGCCCUGCGACGUGGAGCACGAUUCUCACACCAUUAAUGCCUAAAUUCCUUGUCCGAAAAGUGGACAAAAUAAUGGUGCUGCCUUUGCUGGGUUGUCUAAGCAUUAAAUAAGAUCAUGAAAUGAGAUCAAACAUGGAACAAAGAUCAGUUGGCCUGAGAGAAAGGCCCAGCGGGAUGCGCCGGCCGAUAGGAAGCUCCACAGAGAGGCCCCGCUAGGUGGGGUCUGUGGGCCCAGCUGUAGUGUCGGGACCUGCAGCGCCCCUGGGCCCCACAAGGAUGCAGCGUGUUACAGCAGCAGGAGCCACUGUCAGCAACUCCACAAGGCCACCUUCCCGCAGCCUGUUGGGUCCCACAGUGCCGGGAACCGACCCCAGAGCUCCCUUUUCAUGCUCCUUCUCAAGUGCGCACAGACCUCGGGGGCUCGUCAGAACACAGGCUCUGGCUCAGUGGGCCUGGAUGGGCCCUGGAGUCUCAUUUCCGUCAAGCUCCCUGGUGACACUGCUCGAGCUCCCAGUCGUGGAUGUGCGAGGAGCAGGGAAGCAAACCCCCACAGAGGAGAGCCCGUCUCCAGGCGCUUCCGGCUGGGCGCUUCAGGUCCUCCUCUGAACAUCUGCUUCUGCUCGUAGUCUGGUCACCGGUUCACGUGACCAGGUGGAGCUGUGCCUCCACUCCAGGACACUGUCUCUGCUGGCCGCCCCCUCACUCUGCUCCCGGCCCUCUGGGACAAAGGCCGCUUUCCCACUGUGCAUGGGCACAUACACACAUGCACACACACACACCUACACACAUGCAUUACACAACGCACACAUGCAUGCACAUGUGUGCACAGGCUCACACUCACACGCCUGCACCCACAGGGCAGCAUGAGGCUCAGACGGUCCCUGCAAUGACCCUGCCCACAACACGGAGCAUGUGUGCCUCUGCGGGAGCCUGGCAAGUUUUGCUAGCGAUCACAGACAGACAGGAAGUGCUCGUCCCCUGGGAGCCCGGCUCUCCAAGGGUAGGCACGCACUGUGGUAUUUCCAGCAAAGAGCUAAGGCCACAGGAUGGCACAGGCGUGGAAUGGAGGCAGGCGAGGGCUAAGCUGGGAAGUCCAAGAGGCAUGGUGACCAGGACCAGAAGACACCAGGCCCACGGUGGCCUCGCCCAAGCCACAUCAUCCUGAUGUGUUGAGUGAUAACAUGUUGUCUUUAGAUUGCCCCUGGCUGCCUCCCAAAUCCUGGUCCCCGAGGUUGCUGGCUCACAUGCAAAUGUCUCUACACCGUUUGGUGGGAAGGCGUCCAGCAGGAUAUCUUCCUAGAAUCCAACAGCAUGUACCUUGUGUUUAUCAUGUUGUCUUCCCAUCUUGGAGUAAGACUCCCAAGGAGUAGAUGUUGAAAUAUGUAAAAUGAAGUAAAAUGUAGCUGCACUCGCAACAAAAGAAGAAAUACAGAGUAAUCCAGCUCCGUUUCUCAACGUCUGUGGUGCAGACCAGUUUCCCUUUUCCUAAUUUGCAGUCAGUUCCCGCAAGUGGCGGACGUGGACCCGCAUCGCCUGCAGCUCGCCAGGCGCGUCCGUCAGCAUCCGCUGUCCGCACCUGCUCAGUAGGCCCCACCACCUUCCAGAAGCUGCCGCGAACCUGCCUAAGUGUUUUCUGCGAACGCCUGCUUCUCCAUCGCAGGCCGGUGAGGAAGGUCUACAGACCGUGCAGGGGGCCGCCCCGGGCUAGCCACACUGUGCCCUCCACUCCCUGCCCCCGGUGUAGCUUCCGCCACUAUCACACAUUGAGCUCACCAACCGUCUCCUGGCGUUACUCUGCCUUCCUGCCGUGCCCACAUUCCUGAGGUUGGAAAUGCCUGUGACUGAUGCUGGACAGGAUGCAAAUACUGGCUCAGUCCCUGCGGAUGGUAUGAAUAACCCUUAGACACACACACACGUGUGCACACCGAUAUGCACUCAUGCACACCCAUGUACGUGCACACAAGUGUGAGCACACACACAUGCACACAUGCUGCCACCCUGAAUUUGACUGGUUUCUAUUCACACGAGAGGUGGUUUCCCUGGACGCUGACCACUAAUCCUGAGUGCCCGCCACAUGCUGGUGCCCAGCCAGUGGCUCUAUCCAUGGGGAGGACGGCCCUCUCAGGGUCAUCUUGAGUGUCGGCUGUGCCCAGCGGCGCAGGUUGACAAGGCACGCUCUCCCAAGUUGGACAAGGUUACAGUGUGACAUGUCACUUCAGAGGGUUGAACGUGUUUCAGAACAAUUUCGGGACGCUGCCUCCUGACUCUCUUGUCUCUCCAGAGACGACGGUGUUCCGGAAAAGUCAGUCCAGAUGAGACUGAGGAGCUCAGACAGGGGACGUCCUGGCUUCUUGCUGGUUCUGCGGGGAGAGUUGCUGAGGGCUCAAAGUCAGGACUGAGGGACGGUCAGGACCCACCCAGUUGAGCCAUGUGGGACAGGCGCCCUUGGGAAGCCCCUACCCUGGGGGUCACCCUAAUGGGCCCAGUCAGCUCUUCAGAGAGGACCUGCCCGCCACAGAAGUCCCAGCGCCCACCGGGUGGAGGCCCAAGCCAGGAGUCGGGGGGCCCUUUCAGGGUGGGCGGGGGCCUCUGCCGCUCAGAGCCCGUGGGGGCUCUCCCAGGCCUCUUCCCUUCUCGGCAGAUGGUCUCUAGUCAAGAUAAGGCGGCCGGCUCUGUAGGACGGAUCCACUGUGACUCAGUUCACCACACAUUCACCGAGCGCUGGGUCAGGCGCGGGGGAGACGCACCCCGACCCAGGAGCACAGCUUGGGGGAGACACACCCUGACCCAGGAGCAUAGAUGGGGGGAGACGCUCAGAGGCAGGUCCUGUCCUCUCGCAUUUCUGUGGAGUGGAGCAGAGGACCGAGACAGCUGCUGGCCGGUUCCCCACCGGCUCCCUGCCCAGGAGCAUCAUCUUUGCCAAGAAGGUAAAUGGAAUGGAGGCCAAUUGGUACCGUCCUCCUGGCGGGGGCAGAGGACAGCAAGUGGCCUCCUGGUGGCAGAUGACGUGAAGCUGGACCCUGAUUGUUUUGAGGGCUCAGCCAGCUCUGAUCUGCUGCCUUUGAUUGUUUGGGAGGGCGAAGAGCCCGGAACCAAUGGGCUCCAACGACAAGUGCCCGCUCAGAGCUCAGCACCGGUGCCGCUCAGAGAAGGGUCCUCAACCUGGAUUUGCAUUUCCCUCCUGCUUCCCAGUCCUGAUGACAACAGCCCCCCAGUGAGGCUGUGGGCGCCCAUCUGUCCUCCUUUAUUCCUUGACAAAACCCGAGCCUAGUCCCUACGGCUACGUGUUAGAAAGCUGGGGCAUAGAGAAAUCAACCACUUCCCCAGGGCUGCACAGCCCAGGCUGAGCAGAGUUCAUGCCCCCAGACCCACCCACUGUGUGCCCAGGGGGCCACCUCAGCAACUGUCAUGCCCGAGACGUUGGGGGAACCUAAGACUGUAACGGAGAGAAGCCUGGACUCGGUGGGGUCCUCCUCCAGUAUUGGCGACAAUUGUGUCUAAACUUGGGGGAGGGGAGGGGAAAACACCCCACCCCCCACUAAAUGGAGCCUGGCUGACAUAAGUGUUGCAAGCCGCGGGACCUCAGGGAUAAAACGGACCCUUCAGCUUUUGGAAGCAACUCGUGCUCAGGCUCCCUGCAUGGACAUUUGACACAGAAGCCUGCGUUCCGGGGCCUACGGUGUUUAUGGCACCAGCUGCACAGGCUGGGCACCUGGGCCCGGCGCCCCAGGGAUUAAUCCGCUAAGUGACCUGCUCUUGCUCCAGGCCCUGUAGGUCUACUGGAAUCAAACUUUUGUCUCUUUUGCAGCCACUGUCCUAAAACAGCACAGUUACUGCCCCUUGGAAGUUUCCAGGCCCACCUCCUCCAGCUCCUCAGGAACUUUCCCGACCACCUUCCUCACGCUCCCGUCCAGCUAGCACUCUGUCCAUCUCUGCACCAUCAUGACACAGGGCUCAGCACACAGCAGGCACUUAGUAUGUAGUUGCUGAAUGCGUGAAUAACAGCAGUGACAAUAAGAAUGGAUGCGUCUGGCUUCAGGAGAGAACGGUGGGAUUAUCAAAGCAGGAUGUGGGCUGGAUUGAUGCCAUUCGAACAGCCGUCCCGGGUCCUAGAGAGCCUGGAGGGGCCCCGGGGCUGCAGCGGGGUGAGAAGGCGUCAGGGCCUGAGGUGGCCCCCUUUGUGCCUCAAAGGUCACUCAAGCUCCACUGCUCCUCCCCAGAGGGCACCCACUCCACUUCCAUCUAUUCACAUGCCAGAUCUCCAUACCGGACCCGGUCUGAAGAAAGGGUUUCCUGCUAAAUAAAAUAAGCAAUGACGACAAUAAUGGUAAUAGUAAUGUCUGAAACGUCGCUGGCCUAGGGAACCCAGUCAGGUACUUCAGCACUAAAAUCAAAAUGCGUGGGUCCUCUCUCCCUUUGCUGAAAGUCAUUUGGUUGGGCAGCGCAGGGCUCCCCACAGCAGGUGUUCGUCCUGCCGAGACGCCUGGCCUUGUGGGUACGCGUUCCAGGUAAACAGGGUUGUAAGUUAACUCGUCCAUUCAGGACGUCACAAGAGGCGCUCAAUGAACCGAAAAGAAAACAGCCCCUGGGCGCCUUCAGCGCCCACACUCCAGCGGCUUCUGAAAGGAGCGUCUCGGCAAGGAAACAAAGCCUCCCGCCUGGGCCGCAGGAGCCCAUCCUGCCCACGCGGUUCCAGAGUCUGAACCAGGGAGGGGGGGCUCGGCGCUCGGGCAGCAUCGCAGGGCCGCACUGAAGGGCCUCGUCUCCCGGUCAGCGGGGAACGUGCGGCGGGGCCCCUGUGCUCCCAUCCUGCCCCAGAUGGUCACCGCCGGCUCACGGGGCUGUCUGCCCACCUGGGGCCCACAUGUCCACGCUCCACUCCGCCCAAAUCCCGCCAGGACCUCACGUGGCAUUCGGGCUUUGGGACCCCUUCACCUCCUAACUCUGGGCCGGCUCCUCAGUCUUUCUUGUCGUGACCUGGCCCCUUUGGAAGAGGACUGGCCAGUUGUUUCAUAGCACGUCCCUGGGUGUGGACAUCCGCGUGUUCCUCCCGCUCAGAGUCGUAGCUCGGCAUCUUUACAAGAAUCCCCGGAGGGACCCUGCGCCCGUCCCGGGCGUCGGCUCCAGAGGGGCAGAAUGUCGCCACCGUCAUGGCUGUGACCCAGGCCUCGACUGCCUGGCUGGAGCAGCGUCUGCUAGAAAGCAGCAUGGACGAAUACCUCUCUACAUGCAGGAUCUCCUGAGCGUCAGGCCAGGACGCCAUCACCAAAGGCGGGUCCAGCUGUCUGGGCGGUGGCUGCCGGUGCCUUGUGAGCCGCCCACACUUGCUCUUGGCGGAGGGCAAGCUCGAUGGCUGUGAGGCUCACUCUUAGGCGAAACAAGGCACACAGUGCACAGAAUCUUUCCCGCCUACCCCCAGAGCAGACUGUAGGGUGCGGAAAGCACAUCCUGUGUCACUAGACAAGGCGGAGGCCUGACAAAGGCCCUUUUGAGAAUCCCAGGACGUCCUAACAAACCAAAAAGGAUCAGCAGUGAGAAGACCCCGUGCGGUGUGAUGACGAGAGCGGGCGUCGUGGGCGGAGUCGGAGGGCCAGGUCAGCACCUCUGAACUCGCAGAGGAGAAGAGAUGAGCAGGGUCACCUCGGAACGCGGAGAAAAGGGGCUGCCCAGCUCUCCGUGAGGAGGCAGCCAGAGCGCCCUCGCCGCGGACAGGCGCUGUCGGCUGUGCUUCCCCCACGUUCCUUACGAGGCGACUCUGGACUGGACAGAAGACGUUUGCGAGAUUAAGGUGGGAUCGAUAUUGCGGCCCAGAGGACAGCGCAGCGCGGGCUUGAAACCAGCAGGCGGGUGGAGGCCCGACCGGGGGCGGCGACGGCAGCCUUAAAGUCCGGCCCCCGCGCAGCAGGCACAGGAAAUAAGAUCAUCACGGGGGAUACAGGACGCCCCGGAAGCUUCCAGACGAGAGGAGCGCCGGUGGGCGUCGGGCUGGGAUCCGUUCCCUGUCGGGAGCGCCAGAUGACGCAGCACCCGCCUGAGUCAGGCUCCUUCGGGCCGCGCCGCCAGAGGACGCGAAACCGCUCAGCGUUAAGACGAGAAAAAGCCCCCGAGGCCUGCGCGGCGGAGGUCACGUCUCACGGAGCUCUUCCUCCGCCUGCCCCUCCUGCCGGAUCCUGCUCCUCCUCCGGCCGGGGCACCCCCUGCCCCCACCUCCGCUCUGAUGCCGUGUGGUCUCCCAUCUGCUGCGCCCUCCGCUAACAUCCCUGACUGAUGGGCGCGGACACCGAGCUCCCGCCAGCGUCGCAUCCAGGCGACUGUCCCAGAGGGACGCGGGAUGCACACCGGAGCCUGGACCCCGGAGGCGGGUGGCCGCUGCGCACGACUUCUCAGGGGGGCGUGGAGCCUGCGCCUGGGGCCACCUGGCCUCCGCGGAGCCCCUCUGCCGCCUGUCUGAGCCCCGCGGGGCAGUGGCCGGCCCGGGGUCCGGAGGCCCGUUUCACGAGUUCCCUGAACCUGCGUUUCUGCUCUGCUUCCGCUGCGCCCUGUGGGCCCCGCGGGACUUCCCACCACCCCACGCGGAGCCUGAGUUUUCCUAUUUAGGAGGCUGGUGGGGACGGCGGCUUUGGUUAACCCCAGCCCUCUCCGCGGGGUCAGUCUGUGCCCUGCGGAGUGAGGAGGAGCAGCCCGAGGCCCCUGCGGGCACCGCCCGGCCUGCGGCAGCCCGGGGUCUGCAAACGGGGCUGCGGCCGGCCUGGGUGAUCGGGCCAUCUUUCCUCACGCAGAUCAUUCGGGAGAAAGAAAGUCUGACGCCCCCGGACAGAAGAGCCCGCUCGAAGAACAGCAGCAAGAGGUCCUUGUCCAGUGUGUCAUUAAAAAAAAAAAAAAAAUCAGUGUUAUUUGAAGUGUAUUAAAGAGAUAAACCAUAAAAAAUACACCACAGGUGCCA